CAGCCACAUUAUGGACAGAGUGCCACGUCCUGCAUCUUCUCCAGGUUCUUUCUGCUCCUUGUAUUGAGUGUGACUGGAGGCGCAUUGUAAGGACUAUACUGAACAGCGAGAUUAGGGAUGACCCGGCGACCAGUGCUACUUGACAAGCCCAAGCUGGGGACUUCACCCGGUGCCGCGGCUCAGGGAGCGUGUCUGCACGUCCUCGGAACAGCGAUGUUAUGAAACACCGUGACUCUUUGUGUUCUGGGUGACAUCACAGAGUGUUUUCCUGUUUGGGUAGGACAAGUGAAAGAUAUCUGAAUGUUUCAUGGAUGCCAAACGUGGGGCUUUGGGUCACGGGAACUGUGUAUUUCCAGCCUGCAGGUGCUGCCCCCAUCGCCGGCUCCUGGUUUAUGGAAAGACGCCCUUUCAUCAACAACAUGGCGCUAGUCUGGGUCCCUUGGCUCUGUGGCAGCCAUGGCUAUUUGGGGCAUGAAUUUGGACCCAGACAGAGAAAGGUUUUCUGUGAAAGUGAUCUUGUCAUUAUUGUGAGUUCCGGAUGCCCUUUUCAUCUUCACGUGGACCAGACAGUAAUGGCGGUAUUUGCAUCACAUUGUCCCUGGUGACUUGUGACCAGCAUAAUCCCGGCCACUAAAUAGCAUUACAGCAGAAGAGAGCCUCUCUGCCACAAGACAGAGCACCGGCUUUUGGGUUAAAAAAUGUUUUUUCAGUCCAUGGAGAAGAGUGAUGUGUGUGUGUGCACACGUGUGUGUGUGUGUUUUCUGGGGGAGGAAAAGAAUCCUAAAAACAAAACCUCCUAAUUUAAGUCUAGCACUUUCUCCCCCCACCCCACCCCAUUAAAGUCAACCUGAAAAUA